GGAGGUACGUUCACUGUUUUCUUUUCUUUCUUUUUCUUCCGAGGGACCGUCAUCAGGCUUUGAGAUUGAUCGUCGCAGACUUACAGACUCACGUUUCAAAUGACGAGUAUCCUUGAAAUUACGGAACCAAAGUGUCUAUGCGGACUUCCCGCUAGACUGAGAAAAUCUCGAACCUCCCCAGACCUCAUUAGGCUGUUCUACGACUGUCCCAGGGAUGGUGAAUAUCAAUGUGCAUUCUUCUGUUGGUUUGAUGAGCUACUUCCAACAAAUGAUAGACACGAAGAACUGGAAGAAGAAAUAAUCAAUCUCGAACGGCUACUUGACUUUGAAAGGAGUAUCUGGGAGCAAGAAAAAUUAGAGUUAACAUCCGAAUUGUCUAUCCUUCAAGCAGAGCUAGACGGUAUCAAGGAAAAAAUCAAAAUAGCAAACGAGUCGGAUCUUAUGCCUCCUCUCGAUAGAUUAUCCACAGCAGAUGAGGCCAAUCAGUCAACAAUAGAUCUGCAUAUGAUACCCCAACAAGAAAGACAUGGCGCAGAACCAAUUGGUCCCAUACCACUCAGUCCUCAAUGAGAAUUUAACCGACCAAAAGUCUUCAAGCUUUUCAAAAUUCCUCAACAGCCAAUAGAUACAAUCAAUUAAUUUCAUCCAAAUCUUCAAUAACAUUACCCCUCAAAGACCUGCAACACCAAAGGCUUUGGUCCAAAAUCCGCUCCUCAAUCCCACCUAGUAGCACGUGUCUGUGAAUGACAGACACCAAAACAAGUCCAAGAUCAACUCCCCAAAAUCAAACCCUUGAAAGAAAAUUGAGGAACCUUCUUCAACGCAAAGGCUCCGUCCAGAGUCCCCUCCAAACCAGAAAUUUCAAAGACAAUGCAAAGGUACACUCUAGAGUGUAAAAAAUCCAAAAACCUUGCUCCUCCUUGGCCUCCUCCAAAGUUGCAGAGUGUUUUCAAGUAAGUAACUUGGGUUUCAUCUACUCUCUAAUUAAAUGCUAUGCCACGACUGGUGAUGGAGCUACUAGAAAAGGCUAACGCCAAAUUAUUCACAUAAUCCUCAUUACCCUGCGAAUAUCAUAGACACCUGAGUAGGAGAAUGAUUUGAUUUGUCAGAACAAACUAUUCUCCGGAGACUAGCUCAGAAAAGUUCUUAGAACACCUAUGUUCUUUGAUUUGAUUUGUCAUGAUUUCACGUUCCAGAUUUCAUGUCCAGUUUACUAAGAACCUUAAGGUUGAUGUUCCAAUGAGUAUAAGUUACCUCGCUCAAGGUGCUUGGUUUUUGCCUUGUAA